ACAAAUUCCGUCCCGGAGACUCGAUUUUUUUCUAGCCGAUCUUCGGCCUCGUAGAGACCGCGAAGAGUUCAAGUCAGGCUCGACUCCGAUAAAUUCGGAGAGACGAAGCGCAGCGAUAAGGCCGACUUUGCACUCGUCAAGUUUCGCGCAACUCCGAGACUCGAGCGAUCCUUUCCGCCCGAUCAUUUCCCGCCGCCGUGGACUCCGCGAAGCGUUCGCCAAGCUCGACAAAAAUAAAUAGAAGACACGAACGGCGCAACCUUGCCACCGCCACGCCGGACUACACACCGGAGAGAGUUCUAAUUCGGCCUACGUUCCGCGCUAUCUUUCGCGGCCAUUUGGCACGGCCGGGCGCGAUUACGCGUCAAAUCGCGAUGCACGUCGCCCGCGGCACGGACGUGAUCCGCCAUUUAUUCGCCCUAAUCGAUCGCACUAAUUGCGCCCCGGGCCGUGGCUCGAGUGUUAUCAAUUAGAAGCCACCAAAGUGGAAUUGUCGCGGGCAAUUAGCCCGCGUCGCCGCGCUCCGCCGGGCUACGACGGUGAAUCAGCGUCGCUACGUCAUCGUCGUCGACAUCGACGUCGUCGUCUCGAUUGCACGUCGCGACGGCACGUCAGUCCGCAAAAAGCUCCCGGAGAUAAUGGAGCUCAUCGGCCGGGGGCGGAGGACCCGGCGGGAGUAGUUUUCGUUAUUGUUUGUCGCGCGCGAUCGCCAUCGCGCGGGGGCGGCAAAGGGCGAAGGGACUCUCCCGAGCGGGGUAAACACGCGUCAUCGGUAUAGCCGGCGACUCCACGGGGGCUCGCGAUUUCGCCGGACGCUCCAUUAGUACACGGGAUACCGGGCGGGCUCGAGUUGGCCGAGGGGUCACGUUGACAGUGCCUUUCGUUUGCGUUUGCGUUUGUCGCGGGGGAAAAAGAUCGUAAAACGGGACAUCGAUAUCUCUCCUCCCACCGCGGGAUGUUCCUUUCGCAAUGUGAGCACGCUUCUCCUGCCGUGAGUGUUCCUCUUGAAACACGGCAAAAGCAGCACCAUAUUCUAAAGGGAACAUUUCGCGUCUCCCGCAAUGAAUGCAUAAACGAAACGCACGGUCGGUUCGAUCGGCCGUCGUUAUCUUAACCGUUAUCGUCGCCGACGAUGAGAAGAGGGAAGAGAGAAACGGCAAUUAGGCGUACAUGAUUUCCGGAAACUCAGCUAGAAGAA